rnacentral:rRNA from 1 species
CUCGUUUAUGUAACUUGUACAGGGUAAAAGUGUUUCAUAUAGACUUUAGUAGUAAAUGUAUAACAUUUACACUAUAUUUCUCUAUACUCUAGAAAGUUUCAUUUUAAACGUCAUCUCUCUUUCGGAUUUGACGUUGAAUGUCAUUCGGCAUCCGACUAAACGUAGCAUGUCUUAUUAGAUACCUGAUUAGGCGUUCUGUGUAGUUCGGUCUCCAGGGUUGCCUUCUUUACGUUCCCGAAUAGGCCUGUAUGUUAUUUCAACCUUCUGAUUUAACUUCACAGUGUUUUCCUAUUCUAAGUGAUAGAGAGAUAGACAAGCACACCAAUUUUGGGUUAGCUAACUAAGCAUCGUUUGGUGGUUGCGGCAGCGCCGGUGAACUCUACUCGAACGGCCGGCCUCCAGCAACGGCGAACAACGGUGCCGCCGCGCCUCCCGCGCUCAGGUCGUCGCGCCUGCUGGCGCACCGCUGCUCCCGCACUCCGCGCCGGGACGCGAUCAGCAGAAGCGGCUGCGGCCGGCGACCACGCAGUUCCCGAGCUACGGAGACACAACAGCGUACCGACUCCCGUCGGCUACGCACGCGACGUUACUGCUCCCGAUGUCUAUCUACCUGCGGUUACGGGACAAGAAGUAAGUGCUCCGCUCCAACGGCGUACCUUCGAGAAGACGGCCCCACUCCCGGCGGCAAAAGGUGCGGGCUCCCGCAGCGGCGAUGUCGGUGGUGCCGGCGAGUACCAGGCGGGCGCGACCUUCCAACCUACCGGAACAGGAACCGGUGAGGCCACGGCG